UACGUAGGGGGCUAGCGUUGUCCGGAUUUAUUGGGCGUAAAGAGCGUGUAGGCGGCCAGGUAGGUCUGGUGUGAAAACUCGAGGCUUAACCUCGAGAUGUCAUCGGAAACCAUCUGGCUAGAGUCCGGAAGAGGAGAGUGGAAUUCCUGGUGUAGCGGUGAAAUGCGCAGAUAUCAGGAAGAACACCCGUGGCGAAGGCGGCUCUCUGGGACGGUACUGACGCUGAGACGCGAAAGCCAGGGGAGCGAACGGG
rnacentral:rRNA from 1 species